AGCCGGCCUGAGAGGGCGGACGGCCACAUGGGACUGAGACACGGCCCAGACUCCUACGGGAGGCAGCAG
rnacentral:rRNA from 1 species